rnacentral:misc_RNA from 1 species
GAUGAAGAACGCAGCGAAAUGCGAUACGUAAUGUGAAUUGCAGAAUUCAGUGAAUCAUCGAAUCUUUGAACGCAUAUUGCGCUCUCUGGUAUUCCGGAGAGCAUGCUUGUUUGAGUAUCAGUAAACACCUCAACUUCCAUAUCUUUUUUGAAAUGGGAGUUGGACUUGAGUGAUCCCAACGCUUUUCCUCACCGAAAAGUGGCGGGUUACUUGAAAUGCAGGUGCAGCUGGACUUUUCUCUGAGCUAUAAGCAUAUCUAUUUAGUUUGCCUAAAAACAGAUUAUUACCUUUGCUGCAGCUAACAUAAAGGAGAUUAGUUCUUGUGCUGACUGAUGCAGGAUUCACAAAGACAGGCUUCGGCCGACUUUGUAAACUCGAUCUCAAAUCAAGUAAGACUACCCGCUGAACUUAAGCAUAUCAAUAAGCGGAGGA